rnacentral:rRNA from 1 species
CAGCAGCCGCGGGAAAACGGUGGGUGCAAGCGUUAAUCGGAAUUACUGGGCGUAAAGGGCGCGUAGGUGGUUAUUUAAGUGAGAUGUGAAAGCCCCGGGCUUAACCUGGGAACUGCAUCUUAUACUGGGUAACUGGAGUGCAGUAGAGGGUAGUGGAAUUUCCGGUGUAGCGGUGAAAUGCGUAGAUAUCGGAAGGAACACCAGUGGCGAAGGCGGCUACCUGGACUGAGACUGACACUGAGGCGCGAGAGCGUGGGGAGCAAACAGGAUUAGAUACCCCAGUAGUCCCUGUCUCUUAUAC